AUUGAACGCUGGCGGUAGGCCUAACACAUGCAAGUCGAACGCGAAAGUCCUUCGGGAUGAGUAGAGUGGCGGACGGGUGAGUAAUGCAUCGGAACGUACCCAGUCGUGGGGGAUAACGUAGCGAAAGUUAACGCUAAUACCGCAUACGUCCUGAGGGAGAAAAGCGGGGGGACCGUAAAGGCCUCGCGCGAUUGGAGCGGCCGAUGUCGGAUUAGCUAGUUGGUAGGGUAAAGGCCUACCAAGGCGACGAUCCGUAGCGGGUCUGAGAGGAUGAUCCGCCACACUGGGACUGAGACACGGCCCAGACUCCUACGGAGGCAGCAGUGGGGAAUUUUGGGACAAUGGGCGAAAGCCUGAUCCAGCCAUGCCGCGUGAGUGAAGAAGGCC
rnacentral:rRNA from 1 species